rnacentral:lncRNA from 1 species
CAUAUUCAAAGCCAAGUUUACAAAGUGGAUUGAGGUUCAUACCAUCAUCCCAUCAUAAUUUUAUCAAUUUGGAGAAACCCAUGUCCUCCAUUCCAACCAUUUAACCAAUUCACCAAUUCAGUCCUAAAAGCAUCAAUUUAAAGCAUGAAUAAUCAAGUGAAAACACGGGACAAGUAGUUCAAGCAAUAACAAUAAAAAAUCCUCAACCUCAAUUUCAAACCCAUCACUUAAAACACAUGAAUAUCUAAUAAAUUAAUGCCACAAUAUAAAUAUACAAGUUAGGAAUGAGUAACAUGCCUGAAAUAUACAAGGAUUUGAAGACAAUUCAAAGUUUGGAGCCUAGAGUAGUAAUUUCUUGAAAAACCCUUGCGCUUUCUUGAGUUUUGCAUUUAAGAGAGAAUGAUAAUGUUUUUCAUCUUUACAAAUUGAAAGGGAAGGGUUAUUUUAUGUUUGUAAGUCGUGCAAGGGGUAAAAAGAGCAAAAUCCACUCACUCCUAGUUAAGAAAUCAAAAACUAGAUGAUAUUAAAACAGCAACAUGGCACGCUAUUAUCGCGGAGGUUAUCCUCUGUGCCACGCCUUUAUCAUAGAGGCUAACCUCUAUGAUAUGCUAAUGUUGCGGAGUCUCACUACCUCAGAGUUCCAAAAUAGCCUCGAACCCCUUUCAAAAGUUCCAAAACUUUUCCAAAUAUCAUUUUAAAAUCUCCAAACAUAAUUCUAGUAAAAAAUUGACAUUACGCAUGUGGGAGGGUCAAAAAUAAAAUUGUUAAAAUUUUAUGGGGUCUCACACCAUCCUUCACAGUUAUAACCUUGUGCAUAAGCUUUAUCAUGAUAGUUAAAAGAUUUACACCUUCAAACUUGCACAAUGACUCCAUGAGGAAUAGGUUCGUUCUAGAAGCAAUAGUUUGCUUUUCAAUACGAGGUAACAAAACUUUGUUGACAAACUCAAGGAGUAACUAAAACUCUCAUUUUGAGACUUCUUGAGAAUCCCAACACUAGUUAAGCUAUCCAAUCAUCUAAUGUAUGUCACAAACUUAGGAGUGGCUGUCAAAUUCAUCAGAAACUUGAUCCACUCCUUAGGCAUAUCUAGAAUAUGAUUAAGUAUUGUCUUAUCAAGAUGAAUCUCUAUCCCACACACAGUUGUUGAUAGACUCAAACCACCCUCAGAAAGCAAUGUACUAUAUUAAAAGUCUUAACACCUUUAUUUCAUGAACUUUAGCAAAAGGUAAAUUAUAAAGAUAAAUCCAUUCUUUGAAUUUAACAAUUUCAACCAGUUAAUUUAUCCCAGGAAGAUCUAAAUCUCAAGAUCAAGUAAUCUACCCUUAAGGACGUACUACUUACUUAGAAUUUUGAUUCGAUCUUCCCAUGUUAGAACCUUGGCAACUUUUUGAAUUUUUGUUCUCGACGCAGUACCUAGUCCCUUUGGAUAAUCAACUAUCUUUCUCUUUACUGCAAUGGUCUUCUCCUUAGAGAUACUCUUGGGUUUACUCAUUGAUAUCAUGAUGAUUUUGAUAGAACUAACACUUACCCUUCUCUAUGUCGUUGUAAUGGCAACAUCUAAACCAAUUCUCUUAUUAUUCUCCUUUCAUCUUUUACGCUAACAACCUUUCUCUCAUAACAUCUCCCGUGAAAUUCUGCCCUAUUUCUCAAGUCCUAUACGUCCUUAUUACCUCUCCUACAACAUCAACCUUUUUUUUAUUUCGAACCUUUUUGUCAACCCCUUUAAAUGUCCAAAGUUCUUCAUCUUGGUCAUCAACCCAAUCUACUCUGUUGCAAGAAUAUUUGAAAGAUUUCCUAUUUCUUUUGGAAAAUCACCAUCAAACAUGUGCUCAUCAUCUGGUGGAGAGUCAGAGAGUUUAUUGGUACCUGGUCCCUUAGAAAUUUCUUUUGUGACUUUUGUUUGGGCAGGUCCAGGUUGAGAGUUUUGACCUAUUUUUAGAAGUGAUUUAAGAGCCUUUGAUGCGGAGGAAAGCAAUGCAUCAAAAACUUUAGGAGUCAUUUUUGAGUUGAGAGAUGAAGGAAUAUGGUCCUUUUCUAGGGUAAUAAAGAUGGAUAAUAUAGCCUUUUCAUGAAUAAAUAUAGUGGAGAUAGUAGUUUCUAUCAAGGAUUUUGAAAAUUUAUGUGAGUUUUGUUGAUGAAUAGGGUAAUAAAGGAAUUUACUCGCUAAGAGUUGUAUAGAUGGGGAUUACAGUUGAGACAUUGUAGAGUAGAUGAUAAUAGAAGGAGCAAAGAGUACAAAAGAAAGGGAGACAGAUAAUAGAUCACGGGAACUGACAGAAACAAGAAAGGAUAAAUAAAUGGGAAGAAACAUGUGGAAUUUUUUAUCAGUUUUCAAUGCAUUUUCAAAAUGAAACAUCUAUAAUACUAACCUCUAAGGAGAGACUUAUUCCCUCUGGUAAAUUUUUGAAAGAUAUUUGGCUUUAGCCUGCUUUAUCUGCCUCCCUAAUUGAAC